UGCAUUUCCUUCACUUUCGAAGGUCACGGAGAUCAUUACGUAAAACGUGUCAUGCAGUGGUGUAGAGGUUGGGUGAGAACUGGAAGUUUUUCAUCAUUAUCAAGAAGGUAAAAUAACCGCAAGGCAUAAGAGGAGGGGUGAGAAAAAGUCGUAUAAAAGGCGAGAGAAAAGAUGACAGGGAUCAGUCGAGUGAGCAUCUCCGACACGGCAACAACUGCAGCCCACAAUUUGUCACCAACUGUCUUCUUCAUUGUACAACCAGUUCGCAAUCAUGGUUAACUAUGGCGCCGUGCAGCUGUUUGGUGUUGUAUCGUUAAUGGUUGGGUCGAACACGGGUGUACCGAUGUCUCCUGGACAUGGUGGGUGCCAAGUAACAGCAGCGAAAGAAUACUACACCACGUCACCGCCUUACUACACAACAACGUCUAGAUAUGCAACAUCUACUAACUACGCCGAGGCCCCCAAGUGCUACACCACCAAGACUGAAGAGUUACGCUACAAAUUACGCUGUCCCGAAUUACAUCACCAAGGCGCCUGAGUACUGCAUCACCGAUGUUCCCAAGUACUACACCACCGAGUAUUCUGCCCCAGCCUACUACAUCGAAGUCCCCAAGUACUACACGACUACGAAUGCUGCCCCAGCCUACUACACCGAGGCUCCAACUUAUUUCAAUACCACAGCGGUCGAGUACUACACCUAACCGCACAAGUCCUAAUCUGCCCCGAACUACACAACCACAACUGAGGCGGCGAAUCAACUAUAGUGUCGUGCUACUAUUGGUUGUAUUAUCCUUAAUGUUUGGGUCGACCACUAGUGUGCCGAUGUCUCGUGGGUACGGUGGAUACUAAACCGCAAUGCGGCUUCUAACUACA